AGAAGUAUGAGAUAUAUCAAAAAAGUUUAGAGGAGGCUAGUCAACAGCUCUGUCUCCAGAAUAAAAUCAAUAUUUCAUCAAAAAUGAUUUGAACAAGUGAAGUAACUGAUGAGAAAAUAGUAAUUCCAAUGAUAACGAACUUAUCUGCUAGUAAAUGUAACCUUUAAUUAAUAUGUGUUAGAUGUAAUAGAUAUUUUCAAGUCGUU
rnacentral:lncRNA from 1 species